CGCCUGAGGGAUGACGGCGUUCUGGUUGUAAACCUCUUUCAGUAGGGAAGAAGCCUUUCGGGGUGACGGUACCUGCAGAAGAAGUACCGGCUAACUACGUGCCAGCAGCCGCGCUGAUACGUAGGGUACAAGCGUUGUCCGGAAUUAUUGAGCGUAUAGAGCUCGUAGGCGGUCCGUCGCGUCUGCUGUGGAAACGCAAGGCUCAACCUUGCGCGUGCAGUGGGUACGGGCGGACUAGAGUGCAGUAGGGGAGUCUGGAAUUCCUGGUGUAGCGGUGAAAUGCGCAGAUAUCAGGAGGAACACCGGUGGCGAAGGCGGGACUCUGGGCUGUUACUGACGCUGAGGAGCGAAAGCAUGGGGAGCGAACAGGAUUAGAUACCCUGGUAGUCCAUGCCGUAAACGUUGGGCACUAGGUGUGGGGCUCAUUCCACGAGUUCCGCGCCGCAGCUAACGCAUUAAGUGCCCCGCCUGGGGAGUACGGCCGCAAGGCUAAAACUCAAAGGAAUUGACGGGGGCCCGCACAAGCGGCGGAGCAUGCGGAUUAAUUCGAUGCAACGCGAAGAACCUUACCAAGGCUUGACAUACACCGGGAUGUGCCAGAGAUGGUUCAGCCCUUUGGGCUGGUGUACAGGUGGUGCAUGGUUGUCGUCAGCUCGUGUCGUGAGAUGUUGGGUUAAGUCCCGCAACGAGCGCAACCCUCGUUCUAUGUUGCCAGCACGUGAUGGUGGGAACUCAUAGGAGACUGCCGGGGUCAACUCGGAGGAAGGUGGGGAUGACGUCAAAUCAUCAUGCCCUUUAUGUCUUGGGCUUCACGCAUGCUACAAUGGUCGGUACAAAGGGCUGCGAGACCGUGAGGUGGAGCGAAUCCCAGAAAGCCGAUCUCAGUUCGGAUCGUAGUCUGCAACUCGACUACGUGAAGUCGGAGUCGCUAGAAUCGCAGAU
rnacentral:rRNA from 1 species